AACGUAGGAGACGAACGUUAUCCGGAGUUACUGGGCGUAAAGGGCGUGUAGGCGGUUUGUUAAGUCUGGCGUGAAAGCUCUCGGCUAAACCGGGAGAGGUCGUUGGAUACUGGCGAACUAGAGGAUGGUAGAGGCGUGUGGAAUUCCGGGUGUAGUGGUGAAAUUCGUAGAUAUUCGGAAGAACACCAGUGGCGAAGGCGGCUCACUGGCCCGGUACUGACGCUGAGAUACGAAAGCGUGGGGAGCAAACAGG
rnacentral:rRNA from 1 species